rnacentral:rRNA from 1 species
GAUGAACGCUGGCGGCGUGCCUAAUACAUGCAAGUCGAGCGAACGGACGAGAAGCUUGCUUCUCUGAUGUUAGCGGCGGACGGGUGAGUAACACGUGGAUAACCUACCUAUAAGACUGGGAUAACUUCGGGAAACCGGAGCUAAUACCGGAUAAUAUUUUGAACCGCAUGGUUCAAAAGUGAAAGACGGUCUUGCUGUCACUUAUAGAUGGAUCCGCGCUGCAUUAGAUAGUUGGUAAGGUAACGGCUUACCAAGGCAACGAUGCAUAGCCGACCUGAGAGGGUGAUCGGCCACACUGGAACUGAGACACGGUCCAGACUCCUACGGGGGGCAGCAGUAGGGAAUCUUCCGCAAUGGGCGAAUGCCUGACGGAGCAACGCCGCGUGAGUGAUGAAGGUCUUCGGAUCGUAAAACUCUGUUAUCAGGGAAGAACAUAUGUGUAAGUAACUGUGCACAUCUUGACGGUACCUAAUCAGAAAGCCACGGCUAACUACGUG